UGGGGAAUAUUGCACAAUGGGCGCAAGCCUGAUGCAGCGACGCCGCGUGAGGGAUGACGGCCUUCGGGUUGUAAACCUCUGUUAGCAGGGAAGAAGAGAAAUUGACGGUACCUGCAGAGAAAGCGCCGGCUAACUACGUGCCAGCAGCCGCGGUAAUACGUAGGUCCCGAGCGUUAUCCGGAUUUAUUGGGCGUAAAGCGAGCGCAGGCGGUUAGAUAAGUCUGAAGUUAAAGGCUGUGGCUUAACCAUAGUACGCUUUGGAAACUGUUUAACUUGAGUGCAGAAGGGGAGAGUGGAAUUCCAUGUGUAGCGGUGAAAUGCGUAGAUAUAUGGAGGAACACCGGUGGCGAAAGCGGCUCUCUGGUCUGUAACUGACGCUGAGGCUCGAAAGCGUGGGGAGCAAACAGGAUUAGAUACCCUGGUAGUCCACGCCGUAAACGAUGAGUGCUAGGUGUUGGGUCCUUUCCGGGACUCAGUGCCGCAGCUAACGCAUUAAGCACUCCGCCUGGGGAGUACGACCGCAAGGUUG
rnacentral:rRNA from 1 species